rnacentral:rRNA from 1 species
GUGCACGCUGGCGGUAGGCCUAACACAUGCAAGUCGAACGGCAGCACAGUAAGAGCUUGCUCUUACGGGUGGCGAGUGGCGGACGGGUGAGGAAUACAUCGGAAUCUACUUUUUCGUGGGGGAUAACGUAGGGAAACUUACGCUAAUACCGCAUACGACCUACGGGUGAAAGCAGGGGAUCUUCGGACCUUGCGCGAUUGAAUGAGCCGAUGUCGGAUUAGCUAGUUGGCGGGGUAAAGGCCCACCAAGGCGACGAUCCGUAGCUGGUCUGAGAGGAUGAUCAGCCACACUGGAACUGAGACACGGUCCAGACUCCUACGGGAGGCAGCAGUGGGGAAUAUUGGACAAUGGGCGCAGGCCUGAUCCAGCCAUACCGCGUGGGUGAAGAAGGCCUUCGGGUUGUAAAGCCCUUUUGUUGGGAAAGAAAAGCAGCAGGUUAAUACCCCGCUGUUCUGACGGUACCCAAAGAAUAAGCACCGGCUAACUUCGUG